rnacentral:rRNA from 1 species
GCACCCGCUGAAUUUAAGCAUAUCAAUAAGCGGAGGAAAAGAAACUAACUAGGAUUCCCUUAGUAACGGCGAGUGAAACGGGACAAGCCCAACUUGAAAAUCAGCAGGCUCCGUCUGCCGAAUUGUAGUCUAUAGAAGCAACCUCUGAGGCGGACCUGGAUUAAGUUCCCUGGAAGGGGACGUCAGAGAGGGUGAGAACCCCGUCAUCCCUGGUCUUAGCCUCUUCACGAGAUGCUUUCGCCGAGUCGGGUUGGUUGAGAAUCCAGCCCUAAUUGGGAGGUACAUCCCUUCUAAGGCUAAAUACCGGUAAGAGACCGAUAGCGAACAAGUACCGUGAGGGAAAGAUGAAAAGACCUUUGAAAAGAGAGUUAAAAAGUGCUUGAAAUUGUUGAGGGGGAAGUGCAUGAGAGGCGUGAGUGCUUCCAGGCUGUAUGUAGACCCUAACAGGUCUGCCCCUCAGUGCUGGAAGCUGGUCAACAUGGGUUAGCCUAGUGGGACAAAAGUAGAGGUUGUUACUCUGCCCAUGCCACUUCGCUGACCGAGGUACACUUGCUGUUGCUGAUGUUGGCAGAAGCUCCUCAUGCAGCCCGUCUUGAAACACGGACCAAGGAGUCUAACAUGUAUGCGAGUUGGUGGGUGGAAAACCCAUGAAGCGUAAGGAAACUAACUGGUGGGAUGGCCUGUGCCUGCACCAUCGACCGACCAUGAUCUUCUGUGAAAGGUUUGAGUACGAGCAUAUAUGUUGGGACCCGAAAGAUGGUGAACUAUGCCUGAGCAGGGCGAAGCCAGAGGAAACUCUGGUGGAGGCUCGUAGAUGUGCUGACGUGCAAAUCGCUUUUCGGACUUGGGUAUAGGGGCGAAAGACUAAUCGAACCAUCUAGUAGCUGGUUCCCUCCGAAGUUUCCCCCAGGAUAGCUGGAGCUCGAACAGUUUUAUCAGGUAAAGCGAAUGAUUAGACGAUUAGGGGAUGUAACAUCCUCGUCGUAUUCUCAAACUUUAAAUAGGUAAGAUGUCUGAAUUGCUUAAUUGAAUUCAGGCGAUCAAUGUGAGUUCCAAGUGGGCCAUUUUUGGUAAGCAGAACUGGCGAUGCGGGAUAAACCGAAAGCUUAGUUAAAGUGUCCAACUAUACGCUAACCUAGAUCCCACAAAGGCUGUUGAUUGAUAUGGACAGCAGGACGGUGGUCUGGAAGUCGAA